GGACUACUGGGGUUUCUAAUCCUGUUUGCUCCCCGCACUUUCGCGCCUCAGCGUCAGUCAUCGGCUGGAAAUCCGCCUUCGCCACCGGUGUUCUUCCUGAUAUCUACAGAUUUCACCCCUACACCAGGAAUUCCGAUUCCCCCUCCGUGACUCUAGUCUUACAGUUUCCAACGCAGUCCAUGGGUUGAGCCCAUGUAUUUCACGCCGGACUUUCAAGACCGCCUACGCGCCCUUUACGCCCAAUAAUUCCGAACAACGCUUGCCCCUUACGUGUUACCGCGGCUGCUGGCAC
rnacentral:rRNA from 1 species